rnacentral:lncRNA from 1 species
CGGCGCCCGCGGGACGUGGCCGUGGCCGCGCUCGCUGUCUUGUGGCUCCCGGUCCCGUGCUCCGUGCCGUGGUCGCGCCUUGGGGACGGGUGGUGCGGUGACGGGGUGAUGCGGUGACACCGUGACACGGUGACACGGUGACGUGGUGACAAGGUGAUGCAGUGGCGUGGCGGUGCGGUGGCGUGGUGACACGGUGACGCGGUGGCCAGCACGGCCUGGCAGGAGGUCUUGCAGGAGAGGGGCUGGGGACAGGGGGACACACGGGCAGGGCUGGGGACCUGUGCCGGCGGUGGCGCCCCGUUACCCAUGGGGACACGGCGUGGGGACGCUCCCGACGCGCUCCCCGUGGUGUGACACCGGUCACCCGUCUUUGUGCAAUGCCUUCCUCACUCCCCACAGCCUGCGUCCCCGCCUGUCCCCGCGUGUCCCCGCGUGUCCCCGUGUGUCCUUGUGUGUCCCGGUGCCUGGGGGGGGGGGGGGGGGGGGCCGUGCCGGGGCGUGCGUCCGUGUGUCCGAGCUAUGCAUUCCUGUGGACAGGUACCAUGUGGACUUGCGACGAGAGGGUUCGAUUGUGUUGCACAUUUUGUAGGAAAUGCACUUUUAAGAGGGAAUCUUAAAAAAAAAAAAAAAAGAAAGAAAAUGAAAGAAAGAAAACAAAAAAAAAAAAAAAAAAAAGGAAAAAAAAACAAAAAAAAAGGAGAAAAAAAAAAAAAACACAAAACACACACAAAAGACGAUGAGAAGAAAAGCCACAAACAACAAAAAAGGAAAAAAAAAAAAGAGAGAGCGCGCUUGGCGGAGAGGGAAACUUUUUUUUUUUUUAAGGAUAUGAAAAAAGAAACACAAAAAAAAAAAAAAAAGACAAAUAAACUGCAUGGUGCUUUAACAGGAUCUCGUGACCUGGCUCAACCCAUCCGUGGAUGGCUGAUGCUGUGCAUGGCAGACUGUAUUAACCGGCUCUACCUUCCCCCUUCAGAAAAGAGAAAAAAACACAAAAAAAAACCAAAAAAAAAAAUCUGUAAAAAAAAAAAAAAAAAAAGCCGUAAAAAAAAAAAAAAAAAAUCCAUGUUUUCCUAAUUUGCACGAAAUUUUAUACCACAUGAUGUGCCUUGCCUUCGAAGACUAAGUAUUACCAGACCCGGGCUCACCGCACAGGAGGAGCUGCAUGCCUGGGGCUCCCCGCCGCUGGGGGGGCCGGGGGGGCCCGGCCGCUCGCCGCCCGCUCGCCGUCUGCAUGUCGUGUUCUUGCGUUGGGCCGCGGGGCCGGAAAGU